UGCAAUUUAUUUCUGGUCUUCGUUGCUUC
rnacentral:piRNA from 1 species